rnacentral:rRNA from 1 species
UACGGAGGGGGCUAGCGUUGUUCGGAAUUACUGGGCGUAAAGCGUGCGUAGGUGGUUCGUUAAGUCCGUUGUGAAAGCCCCGAGCUCAACUUGGGAAUUGCAGUGGAUACUGGCGAGCUAGAGUGCGGUAGAGGAAGGUGGAAUUCCCGGUGUAGCGGUGAAAUGCGUAGAGAUCGGGAGGAACACCAGUGGCGAAGGCGGCCUUCUGGACCAGCACUGACACUCAAGCACGAAAGCGUGGGGAGCAAACAGG